rnacentral:sRNA from 1 species
GCCAGGUGUGGUGGCUCACGCCUGUAAUCCCAGUAACUUUGGGAGGCUGAGGCAGGUGGAUCAUUCGAGGUCAGGAGUUCGAGACCAGCCUGACCAACAUAAUGAAACCCUAUCUCUACUGAAAAUACAAGGAUUAGCCAGACGUGGUGGUGGGCGUCUGUAGUCCAGCUACUUGAGAGGCUGAGGCAGGAGAAUCACUUGAACCACCACGCCCAACCUAAUUUUUUUUUUUGUUGUUGUUGUUAGUAGAGGCAGGGUUUCACCAUGUUGGCCAGGCUCAUCUUGAACUCCUGACCUCAAGUGAUCCACCUGCCUCA